AGAGUUUGAUCCUGGCUCAGAGCGAACGCUGGCGGCAGGCUUAACACAUGCAAGUCGAACGGGCAUCUUCGGAUGCUAGUGGCAGACGGGUGAGUAACACGUGGGAACGUACCUUUCGGUUCGGAAUAAUACAGGGAAACUUGUACUAAUACCGGAUACGCCCUUCGGGGGAAAGAUUUAUCGCCGAUAGAUCGGCCCGCGUCUGAUUAGCUAGUUGGUGAGGUAAUGGCUCACCAAGGCGACGAUCAGUAGCUGGUCUGAGAGGAUGAUCAGCCACACUGGGACUGAGACACGGCCCAGACUCCUACGGGAGGCAGCAGUGGGGAAUAUUGGACAAUGGGCGAAAGCCUGAUCCAGCCAUGCCGCGUGUGUGAUGAAGGCCUUAGGGUUGUAAAGCACUUUUGUCCGGGAAGAUAAUGACUGACCG
rnacentral:rRNA from 1 species